GUACUUGUACUACUAUUUCUGAUACUGUCCUGUGUUUCAAGAACUUAGGUCUUCUAUAUGGAACAUUUUCAGAAAUACUUUGCCAUCUGGUAUAACUGGGCUAUAUGCUAAAAUACUGACUUCUUUAAGUUCAGUAGCAAAAACUUCCACUCAUUUUCUUAGCUUUCUUCUCACACGUUCCUUUUCUGUGGUGUGGAAAUGAAGAGAGAACAUUACUCUCUUGAAAGCCCAAGGAGCAGCUUACAACAGAAGAGGAAGAAUUUAAAGCACUUAAGAGUUACAGGUACUUGUACUUCUCUGCACAUGUUUCAGCAUUACUGAAUGCUGAAACCACAGUCAUUUUGUGGUGCAAGAGACUCAUUCCUCAAGCAUCUUCUACGUAGAUGCUGUUCAAUGCAAUUUUAAAUCAAAGUGAUCUUGUAUUAAGUUUGCUGGAUUGAGUUGGUGCUGUUGUGCUAAUAACACAGCUAAUAACUGUUUCUGGCACAUAUGAAUUUUGCUUGCUGGAAGCAAUGUUUGACAUGACAUGCUUUUAUGCUUCCCUUUUUUCCUGGUAUUCCCCUUUCCCCCUUCACAAGGCAGUUUACUUUGAGAGAUAACGGAGAGAAAACCCCCUUUUCCUAUUCCUGUGGCUCCAUUAUACGUAGUCAGAGUCACCAAGCAGCAACAGCGGAGCUACUCAAACAGCCUGAGGAGCAAAACAGGUGCUGAGGAUACCCCUAACACAGACAAAAGCACCCUCCCUGACCAGGGGGCAGUCUGGCUGCACCUGAACACACCGGGGUCUGGGGCACUUCAACACAGGAGCUGCCAGCAGUCCCAGACUGGUAAUGGAUCAGGGCCAGGGGAGGGGAUGAGGCCAGAGGUAGCACUAGAGACAAGAAUAAGACAAUGUCCAUCCACAGGGCAGGACAACUCAGGUCAGGUAAGUGUGGAUGCCAGCCCUGAACAUAGACCUUUGGAGCAUUUGGGUAGAGGGGAGAGCACCCCAAGUGAUUGCUGCUCAUGGCCAUUAGGGCAAAUUUAUGUCACUACUUGUUACUUGAUUCUUGCAGGUUCUAAGAAGUUGGUGGAUCCUCAUAUCUCCAGCAGUUUUCUGAGAAGUGUUUCUGAAAAAAAAACCCUUUUAUGUUUAUUCAGAUAACUUGUCAUAUGAACUGCAGAUGGAAUCUGUCAUAUUCAAUCACCUUGACUGAUAAACCUCAUGAGGCUAAUGGGGAAAAAAUGUAGGAAGAAAGCUAAUGUGGUACAAAUAAGGUGACUCAAUCACAUACUUUUCUAUCAUUCAAUUUACUUUUUCUUUAUGUGAUACAGUCUCUACUACAUGCAAAGAAAAUAUCUUUUGUAUGUGUCAUUUUAUGGUGUUUGUAAGAUUGAAGCCAUGAACAUUUCAGACAAAUUGGCCAUUUUCUUAGUUUCUAACUGCCUGGGGUGUGUCUGUGUUAUUAAGUGGUUAUCUGAAAAAUGAGGAGUUAAGUAUGUAGGUAUCUUCAAAUACUAGUCUGGUAAUAAAAGAAAAAAGAACAUGGUAACCACAAGGCAAGUAUAGACACUUCUAAAGUCAGCAUUAUAUGAGUAAAUAGCUAUGCUUUUAUUUCUGGAAGGGACUUUCUUGCCAAAACCUUCAUCUGGAUGGAGUUGAAUAACUUCUUACAUCUAUAUGAAUGAUCUUGUUGCAAAAUGAUUUCAUGCCAAGAAAAAGAAAUCGUGUUCAAAAAGAAAUUUUUAAGGAUAUGUCUGUGUGCAGGGGCCAUUUUUUAUAAAUGACUUGCUGAAAUCUAUGUUAGUAGCCUGUGUUGUACACCAGUCCCUUAACCACCUAAUAACAAUUGAUCUGUUGGCUAUUUGCACCUUCAUAGUCUCGUCUCAAUGCUGUUAACAGACCACUUGCUCCAUGAGUGUUAGUGGUCAGUGGGAUACUAGUAAAUGUCAAGAUAAUCCCAUUUUGUCUUCUCUCCACUAGAAUACGAUUUGCUCAGGUACCACUGUGUUAACAGCACUGAAAAUGUCUUCAACAUAAGGUAGUGAGCUCUACUUUCCACUGAAAGCAAAAGAAAUUUAGCAAGAUUUCUCAAGGUCAGCUGACUGCGGAACGAUGUACAAAAAUGACCAGCCAAAAUGGUCUCACUGGAAUAAUUUAUUGUUGAUAUGUUUUCCUACAUUUCCAUCUGUCUGCAAACCAUGAUAACUGAAAACUAACAGGCCGGGGAAAUCACCUUACAAGUUGCUUUUGCAAUUGCAACAUUAUGCCAAGGUAGGAAACUUUUUGCCUGACUAGCUUGUGUAAUAAUCAAAGCAGACAAUUGCCUAGCUGGAGCAAGAAAAAACACAAACUGCAGAAGGGUUUCACUUUUGUGAUGGCAGUGACUACAACAUUCUGCCUAGACAGCACAGCAAUAAGUCUCUUCUGUCAUGCGUUCUUUUCUGUAAGUAGCUCAGUGAAGACCUCUCACCUAAUAAAGCAGCAAGAGCUGGAGCGGGGUGUUAAUCUUUUUCCUUUUUUUUUCCUUUUUUCCUUUUUUUUUCUUUUUCAGACAUCUUCCAACAAUGGCGGCAAGAAAGAACACAGAUUAAACAAGGGGAAAGGCACAGUAGGAAGGCCAGAGAGGCCAGCAAUGUGCUGCAUAUCCUGUUCCCUUUCCUGUGCCCUGUCCCUCAGCAUUACAUUGCUUUCCAAGAGUUGGGUAUAGGCUCUUUGCAAUGUGAGAACUCAAGGAAGGGCAGUGGCAGUAAGGAAAGAAGCAACAUGUUACAGCUACGCCAUAGGGCCUGAAAGUUAUUCCAGCUUUCAUACUGAUUUUUUUUUUUUUUUGCCUGAAAUUAAAGUUCAGAAGUCUUUACUAUGCCUAUAUAAUUCAGGAAUAAAGUAUUUCUUUGCAUCGGUUUUUUCUGAAGGGCUUUAGUGCCUUAUUAUUAAUUUUGGGCUCUUGUCUGGCAAUGUGAAAAAGAUUGUGUCUGGAAGUUGCUCAAAAUCCUUUUCUAAAGGAGUUUUGAGUGUACGCACAAUUUGGUUACUCCGUCUUUGUGUUAAUUUAAUAACAAAAUUAUUUCAUUUGUGUGCUUUGCAAAUACUAUAUUCAUAAACUAGUGGUUAUUGAAAUAUUUUGAAGAAGGUUUCCAUAGUAAUUUUUAGUAAAUAUUCCAGAAUCAUCUCCUUGAGGUUCCAAAACCAGAAAAAUUACAUUGACGUAUUUCUAAAUAUUAUCUAUAUAAAAGACCAGCCAUUCAAUAUGCUUCUCUUUUAAGGGUUCCAGAAUGAACAGUUCCGUUAAUUUUAAACUUUUAAACUUCAGUUUUUCUACACUGAGCAUAUUUUUAAGGUAUUGUCAGUUGAAAUUGCUAAAUACUGCUGAGGGUGUAGAAGAGCCAUUUGACAGGUCUGGCAGAAGAUAAUACAGACUUAUUGCUAAAUUAUUUUCCUUUCCUCCUCCCAACAGGCAGACUCCAUAUGUUAAUUUACUGUCUCUAAAACUCAGAAGCAGAAUAAGGCACUUUUCAUCAUUCCUACCAUGUUUCUCAUGAACCCCACUGAAAGGCUGUAGGUAAUUUUUUUUGUGCUCCUGGCAUGGUGAAAGCAUGACGCACAGAUAAACCCUGGGAGACGGGAAUCGCCCGGCACUCAUUGCUGCAGGAAAGGGAGUCGGUGUGAUCGGCGGUUCCCGUGAUGGCAUCACUCCUCCAAGCCCCAGGUGAGAUCGGCCGAUCUCCCACACCGCGGGACUGCGGCUCCUGCGGCACAACACUGAGGCACCGGACAGAAAACACUUCCCGCUUUCCACCGGCGCCUUCCGAGGGACUUCAACCACACACACACACUCUGCCCCGCAGGAAUGCCACCAAAUCUGAACAAAUGCUACCCCAACGGAGGGGCUUGGAUCCACCUGUUACAGGUAAAAAUUGAUCAAGCCAAUUUAAUAAUCACAAAAAUAUAAUUUAUUGCGUGACCGAUAUACAGUCUCGAGAGCCACAAUCAAAGGGACAGCGUCGACCCUGGGUUUGGUGCUGGGUGAACACUGGUCUAGCGCAUCGAAUCCCCUCUGUCCAUGAAGGCAGUCUGGUAGAGUCAGUUUUUAUGCUCUUGUUGUUGCCUGAGGCAGAGUCCCUCUUGCUCUUUUCAUAGCUAAACCUAUUCAUGUAGUCUCCUUUCUCCGAGUUGGGCUGGACAAUGUGGUUCCCCGCGAUGAGUGCUGAUGGCAGGUUUAUGGGAACCGGCAUUCAGAUGCAAGUUGUCCAAUAGCUUCUGCUAUCUUGAUCUCAGUGCUUGGUGAGUGUUCAUCAUCCAGGUGACCUUUGAGUAAUGAUCCAUCUCCUCCCGAGCCAGGCUCUUUUGGCUGCAAAUUAGACCUCUCCAUGCUGCCUCUGCAGUUUCUCAAGGGAAUGUGGCAGUCUGCUGGUAUGAGGCAACCCCUCGGCUCCCGCAUGUGGAUUUGAAAAACGCUUUGUAAAUAUUUCUUUCAAACACUAUAACAUAUAUUCUUAUCAUAUUCUACAUAAGCACGAAUUAUCUAAAUCACAUAUUACACACCCUCAGGCCUGGUGCUGGAUCUACUCAGGAAAUUUCAACAUGCACGCUUUGUCUCCUCCCUUCUUCCAAGAUCCCAGGUGGAACAGGGGACUGUCGCAGCGGCUUCACAGUGGGCAGUUCCCGAAGGGUGUCCCGCUUGGCUCCCUGCACACCUCACACUCCCUCGCUCAGACCAGUUGCUCUCAUCGGCUCGGCC